rnacentral:lncRNA from 1 species
AGACCCCUUGUCACUGUCCAAACCCUAGAAGGCGAUAUGGCCACCGAUUCACCAACAACUCUCCCCAUCCCUGACGUCAUGCGCGCCUCAAUCCGCCCCGACAUCGUCAACUUUGUCCACUCCAACAUCUCCAAAAACAGCCGCCAACCCUACGCCGUCAGCCGUAGUGCUGGUCACCAAACCUCCGCCGAAUCCUGGGGAACCGGUCGUGCCGUCUCCCGUAUCCCUCGUGUUCCCGGUGGUGGUACUCACCGUGCCGGUCAGGGUGCCUUCGGAAACAUGUGUCGUG